GGGCGCUGGCCCAGCUGAUGACCGACGACAGGCACGCCAUGCACGGCUUCUUCGUCCCGGGCUUCCCGAAGCUCCUCAGGUUCCAGGCUCAUCACGAGCGCGUCCUCCAAAGAGCUCUCCCCGACCUGAGGAAGCACAUGGAGGAGGAGCAGAUGUGCACAGGAAUCUACACCCCGAAGUGGUUUCUCCAAUGCUUCCUCGGCC